rnacentral:rRNA from 1 species
GAUGAACGCUGGCGGCGUGCUUAACACAUGCAAGUCGAACGAGAAGUGAAGACGGAAACCUUCGGGCGGAAGGCUUUAUUUCGAGUGGCGGACGGGUGAGUAACGCGUGGGUAACCUGCCUCAUACAGGGGGAUAACAGUUGGAAACGACUGUUAAUACCGCAUAAGACCACAGCACCGCAUGGUGCGGGGGUAAAAACUCCGGUGGUAUGAGAUGGACCCGCGUUCGAUUAGCCAGUUGGCGGGGUAACGGCCCACCAAAGCGACGAUCGAUAGCCGAUCUGGAAGAAUGGCCGGCCAAAUUGGGAAGAGGCCACGGCCCAAACUCCUCCGGGGGGCAGCAGGGGGGAAGAUUGAACAAUGGGGGAACCCCUGAUGCAGCGACGCCGCGGGAGUGAAGAAUUAUUUCGGUAGGUAAAGCUCUAUCAGCAGGGAAGAAAAUGACGGUCCCGGAGAAAGAAGCCCCGGCUAACUACGG